rnacentral:rRNA from 1 species
AGUGAACGCUGGCGGUAGGCCUAACACAUGCAAGUCGAACGGCAGCACAGUAAGAGCUUGCUCUUACGGGUGGCGAGUGGCGGACGGGUGAGGAAUACAUCGGAAUCUACUUUUUCGUGGGGGAUAACGUAGGGAAACUUACGCUAAUACCGCAUACGACCUACGGGUGAAAGCAGUGGAUCUUCGGACCUUGCGCGAUUGAAUGAGCCGAUGUCGGAUUAGCUAGUUGGCGGGGUAAAGGCCCACCAAGGCGACGAUCCGUAGCUGGUCUGAGAGGAUGAUCAGCCACACUGGAACUGAGACACGGUCCAGACUCCUACGGGAGGCAGCAGUGGGGAAUAUUGGACAAUGGGCGCAAGCCUGAUCCGGCCAUACCGCGUGGGUGAAGAAGGCCUUCGGGUUGUAAAGCCCUUUUGUUGGGAAAGAAAAGCAGCAGGUUAAUACCCCGCUGUUCUGACGGUACCCAAAGAAUAAGCACCGGCUAACUUCGUG